rnacentral:lncRNA from 1 species
UCAUUCUUGUUUCUCCUCCAAAUAUCCAGCGCAGUUGAGGGAUGCGACGACAGAUUUUUCGGCAGCCAUGGGCGCCGGUCCAGUCGCGAUUAGCGACGACAAGCUCAUUAACAACGUCGAGGAAGGAGAAGUAAUCUGCAAAAUUGGACCAAAUAGGACGGUUGGAUGAUAGGUAGCGGUAGAUUUGAGGGUCUAGGGUUUUGAGGGUUGAUUGAGUGCGGCGGAAGCUUUGGGCUCUACUAUGGUUGUUCCUUUUACUCUCAGAUUUGGAUGAUCUGUACUGGUUAUUGGGUCUAUUUUGAAUUUAUUAUAUGUUUAAUCUAUUAAUUCAUCUUCUUUCUUUGUUUUAUCUAUUAGUCCAUCUUCCAUCUGUUAAUGGAUCUGCUCUAUUAUGGCUCUGCUAUGGUUGUUUCUUAUGGAUUUGUUUCAAGUUAUCUUUUCUGGUUUUGGGUUAUACGUUUAUGGUGAUUUGGUUUCUGGUUUUGGAUUUGGUUUUGGAUUUCAUGUUUUCUCUUGUUUAUGUUUUGAUUAGACUGCUGCUUCCCAUGUUUUUAGCUUUAUUUGUUAUGAUCUUAUUUUGGAUCUGAGAAUUGGAUUAUGUUCUUUAAAUGAAUUUUGAUUUUGUUUUGAUAUCCUCUGCUCUUCAUCUUCGCAGGCAACCAUGGCGUGCACUGAAAAUCUGGGGCAGGG